GAUGAACGCUAGCGGCAGGCCUAACACAUGCAAGUCGAGGGAGAGGUUACCUUCGGGUCACCAACACCGGCGCACGGGUGCGUAACGCGUAUACAAUCUGCCUUUCACAUAGGGAUAGCCCGAAGAAAUUUGGAUUAAUACCUAAUGGUAUAUAAGAGCGGCAUCGUUUUUAUAUUAAAGCUACGGUGGUGAAAGAUGAGUAUGCGUUCUAUUAGCUAGUUGGAGAGGUAACGGCUCCCCAAGGCGACGAUAGAUAGGGGUUCUGAGAGGGAUGUCCCCCACACUGGUACUGAGAUACGGACCAGACUCCUACGGGAGGCAGCAGUGAGGAAUAUUGGACAAUGGUCGGAAGACUGAUCCAGCCAUGCCGCGUGCAGGAUGAAGGUCCUAUGGAUUGUAAACUGCUUUUGUAAGGGAAGAAUAAGGAGUACGUGUACUUUGAUGACGGUACCUUACGAAUAAGCAUCGGCUAACUCCGUG
rnacentral:rRNA from 1 species